GAUUGAGAAUGCAUCAAGAAGAAACUACCAACAUUAAUUGAAUGCUCCAACAGAUUUCACAGUUCUCAUCACAAUGCUCAUCCUACCGCUGACUCUGCUGCUGGUGAUCACUGCCCUUUAUUUCUACUGUCAGGCCAGCAGGGGGCAGAAAUCCAGCAGACAGAAGAACACUGAGCUGCUUGACUCUAAUCAGGGUGUUUGUGCAGGUGAAGGAGGGACGGCUGCAAAUGAAGGAGUUCAGCAGGACCUCCAAAGAGCUCAUCCUACAGCCACAUGAAUUAAUCAGCUAAUGUGAGCCACCAUCAGCUCAGUUUUCUGCUGAAGACUUAAAUCUGUAAACACACCUUACUAACAAAUAUCUUCAUUAAUUAUUCUGAAAUGUGUAGAGAUAGAGCACCCACCAGGGAAGGCAGUGAGGCAACAUUUUAAAAACGCACAGUGUAACACUGGAAUGUGGAUCAUUUACACUGCAGUCAAACAGGCCUCGACAUCAGCUUAUGACUUCUUGGUAACCACUGGUCACUAUGGAAGAAUGUGGAUUCCUUCACUGGCACUCUUCUGGUGAAAUUGGUGCUGCACUGAAAAGCUCCCUCGCUUUGGUGUCUGCAGGCUGACGAGCUCGCUGCAGUUUGCGUAGAAAACACAGACUUGUCUGCAAAAGUUUGCCAACUGCCCACAGACUACGUUCAAUAUCCUUUUACUUCCACUUAUGUAAGAAAGACAUUUUUAGUAUUUAGAAGA